UCAGCUACUGCUCCAGUGCCAAGCCUGCCUGCAGCAAUGCUCCCACCAUGAUGAUCACGGACUCACCCUCGGAAAUGGAAGCCCCAGUAAACUUCCUUUCUGAACCCUUGUGGAAGAAGACGGCAGAAAGAACAUAGGAGUUGAAGGAAGGGAGCAGUUUGGAGAUGCUGUACAGGAUGAUCCUCUGAGCCAAACCACCAUCAUCUCCAGGAGUUCUGCUGGCCAACUUGGCAAUGAUCAUCGCAGCUGAACCUCAUAGAAGGAGUGGGCAGGGAGGGCACCUCCCCUGCUUCUCCCAACCCAUCUGUGCAAUUCUGCCCUAAUUGCAUGUGGUCUUUUGGGAAAAGCUAGAGGCUAGAGUUGGGGGAAAGGUAGGAGGGAUUCCAUCUAUGCAACCAUAGGGAAGCCAUCAUCCCUGCUGGGUACUGACUUUCCAGUGUGGCUACUUUAAGGUCAUCUGUGUUCCUGUCCAUAAUCCAUCACCAUUUCUCUGUAAGUAAGCCCAAUAAACUCAUUGGUUUCCCUGGGUGAA